AAACAGAAAUGAGCAUUGUCAUCUAAGAGGACCUUGACAUCUAACAGCAUGUGGGCUGUCCAUGAUGUGUCCGGAGGUGGCUGGAGAAACAGAGAGUAUUU